AUCGUGCAGACGGGCGCCUACAUGCUAGUGGACGAGACCCUGUUCACCAACGAUGCCCUGAAGGUGACGUUCCUCAUCACCCGGCUGACCGGGCCCGCCCUGCAGUGGGUGAUCCCCUACAUCAGGAAGCAGAGCCCCCUCCUCAACGAUUACCGGGGCUUCCUGGCCGAGAUGAAGCGGGUCUUUGGAUGGGUGGAGGACGAGGACUUCUAGACCGGGAGCCCCUCGGGCCUGGGGGCGGGUGCCCGGGGGAGGAUGCCCGGGGGAGGGUCCGCCGCGCCAGUCGCCGCCGCCCAGAUCGCCACAGGCAGCGUCCUCCCGCCGCGCCUCCCCCCUCCCUCACCUUCGCGUCGCCGUGAUCUCCCCCGCGCUCGUGUCCCCUCCCGCGUAGUGCUUGCCUUUGUUCCAGGAAUAGCGCUCCAGGUUCCCGCUGCUGCCGCCGCCGCCGGGCCUGGCUCUGGAGCGGCCGCCGCCCUCUCGGGCCAGCCCGGCCCCUCCCCUGCACAGUUGGACUCGGUCUUGCGCUCCAGCUGCAAGCCGGGCUCCUGUUACACACCGGACAGACCACCCUCAACCCGGCUGCUGCCAACCGCCCGCCCUCUGCCAGACUCCCAGGCCCACAUGCAGGUGCUCAGAGACCUGCGCUGCCGCUGCCGCCGCCACCGCCACCGCCAUCCACCGCAUCCCGCCGACGGCCUGCAGCCUUCAGCGGUCUGGACUCGCCCGGGAGGUGUCUGAGCUGGGCACAGCCUCUGGACAAUGCUUCCAACAGCUCGCCACCGCCCUGGAGGGGCUGGCCAGCCUUUCACCUUCGGCGGGACCCAGUCCCUCCCUCCUCCUAGAGACAUCUUCUGCUCCUGCCAGGUGGCCGCCAGGUCCCAGGGGUGCCUGGUAGCCAAAUCGAGUCACUCAUUGUCUCCUGUGGACCUGUUCGUUUCGCCCAGAAUCCAGUUCUCUUCUGAAUGUGCAGCUGUCUCUCUGAUGUGUGCCUUUUGUUCCACACAGUAACCCCUGCACUCUGCCCAGCUCUUCUACACUACCUGGACAAACGUCUUUUCCUUGUUUUCAAUAAAUGUCAGACGCUGUUC
rnacentral:lncRNA from 1 species